UACGAAGGGGGCUAGCGUUACUCGGAAUUACUGGGCGUAAAGGGCGCGUAGGCGGCCAACUAAGUCAGACGUGAAAUCCCUCGGCUUAACCGGGGAACUGCAUCUGAUACUGGAUGGCUUGAGUUCGGGAGAGGUGAGUGGAACUGCGAGUGUAGAGGUGAAAUUCGUAGAUAUUCGCAAGAACACCAGUGGCGAAGGCGGCUCACUGGCCCGAUACUGACGCUGAGGCACGAAAGCGUGGGGAGCAAACAGG
rnacentral:rRNA from 1 species